rnacentral:rRNA from 1 species
GCCCAAGAGAUCGGGAUAACACCUGGAAACAGAUGCUAAUACCGGAUAACAACAGAUGAUGCCUAUNCAACUGUUUAAAAGAUGGUUCUGCUAUCACUCUUGGAUGGACCUGCGGUGUAUUAGCUAGUUGGUAGGGUAACGGCCUACCAAGGCGAUGAUGCAUAGCCGAGUUGAGAGACUGAUCGGCCACAUUGGGACUGAGACACGGCCCAAACUCCUACGGGAGGCAGCAGGC